UGCAGUUGGUUCAACUUGUUAGUGAGCGGCUUGCAAUGGUCAACUCCAUUGAUCCCGUGUAAAGGUGUGGGGUCUAGUAAUUAGUUUACUUACUCCAGCACUACAGCUGACUGACCACCUCGACCGUAAGUCAGUGCAGAUGGUUGUCACACCCUCUAUUGUUGGAGAUAACAUCGCUGCAAUUUUAAAGCGACAAUGCGUCGAGUGUAGCGGAGCUGGACAAUGAAACGGCCUCGAAAUAAUCAUCAUUGUAAUCCCGAGAGACUAAAUAAAUAGCGGUGUCCACCCAGAAAUGACCAGCCUCUGGCAAUGUGCAGAUUAUAACGCUCUCCAGAUGAUUUGGAUCUGCAAGGGAGAUUGAAAUCAUAAGGAGGUAGCUUCUAAGCAGAUUCUAAGGCUGCAAUCCAGUCAAUCGGACCGACAAGCGCCCCCAAAUCUAUAGAAAUUCAAGAGUGCCGCAAAAUUCUUCACAGAACCAUAAUAUUACAGUGGAUACCAGCCCAUUGCCAAAUACUUGAAAACGAAUUAGCUGACCAACUAGCCAAGAAAGGGGGUAAGGUACUGCAAAUAGAUAACAAAGCAUCAUCUUUCCACUCCAUUCAAUUCAAUUAUUCAUACGACAAGCCUUGAGGAACAAACACUUUCAACAGUUGUCAGCACAAAUUUCAGAGAAACAAUGGAAGGAAUCAUUACUGAGCAUCCCAGAUUGACCCAGGCGGGACGCAGUUGCAGCAUUCCGAUUAUAUACAGGACACGAUUGUUUAGCCAAGCACCUCCACCGGAUUGGCAUCUAUACCGAACCAUCCUGUGUUAUUUGUAACCAAGGAGAGGAAACGGACAGUCACCACCUACAACACUGCCCAGCUUUGAAGAGCAGCAAACUUUAUGAUCGCUACUGGGAAGCAAGAUGUGUUGUGGGCCAAAGAUGAAAUUCUAUGUACCUGCUAUUUGACAUAAAUAAAUAAAAUUCUC